CUCUUACCUAAGGUUACUUUACCUUAGCCAACUAUGCCACUCGACCCGGUCUUGAGUCAAUCAUAUGCGGAUAAUCCGCGCUCUGUCAGGCUCGAGGUGAAGGAACUAUCACAUGCACCUCAGCCAUCAAUCCACAAACCACAUCGCCCAACGGGUCGCCCAGAGCUGCAUACACCCGUGGUCAGGGAUCCCCCGAUAGGAGAGGAACAUGCCACAUACACCCGCAGCCGAGAUCCCCGAUAGGGAGAGGAACAUGCCACAUGCACCCUAGCGCUCAUGAUUCUUGCUCAAUAACAAGCCUCGAAGUUCUUCCGGUAGGAGAGGAAC
rnacentral:lncRNA from 1 species